CGGGGUAUAGCGCAGUUUGGCUAGCGCACCUGCUUUGGGAGCAGGGGGUCGCAGGUUCGAAUCCUGCUGCCCCGA